UACGGGGGGGGCAAGCGUUGUUCGGAAUUACUGGGCGUAAAGGGUUUGUAGGUGGCUUGCUAAGUCAGACGUGAAAUCCCUCAGCUUAACUGGGGAACUGCGUCUGAGACUGGCAAGCUUGAGUGCAGGAGAGGAAUGCGGAAUUCCAGGUGUAGCGGUGAAAUGCGUAGAUAUCUGGAGGAACACCGGUGGCGAAGGCGGCGUUCUGGACUGCAACUGACACUGAGGAACGAAAGCCAGGGGAGCAAACGGG
rnacentral:rRNA from 1 species